rnacentral:rRNA from 1 species
CCCCGGGGGGGGGGGGGCCUAUGAUGCAAGUCGUACGAACUCUGGUAUUGAUUGGUGCUUGCAUCAUGAUUUACAUUUGAGUGAGUGGCGAACUGGUGAGUAACACGUGGGAAACCUGCCCAGAAGCGGGGGAUAACACCUGGAAACAGAUGCUAAUACCGCAUAACAACUUGGACCGCAUGGUCCGAGUUUGAAAGAUGGCUUCGGCUAUCACUUUUGGAUGGUCCCGCGGCGUAUUAGCUAGAUGGUGAGGUAACGGCUCACCAUGGCAAUGAUACGUAGCCGACCUGAGAGGGUAAUCGGCCACAUUGGGACUGAGACACGGCCCAAACUCCUACGGGAGGCAGCAGUAGGGAAUCUUCCACAAUGGACGAAAGUCUGAUGGAGCAACGCCGCGUGAGUGAAGAAGGGUUUCGGCUCGUAAAACUCUGUUGUUAAAGAAGAACAUAUCUGAGAGUAACUGUUCAGGUAUUGACGGUAUUUAACCAGAAAGCCACGGCUAACUACGUGCCAGCAGCCGCGGUAAUACGUAGGUGGCAAGCGUUGUCCGGAUUUAUUGGGCGUAAAGCGAGCGCAGGCGGUUUUUUAAGUCUGAUGUGAAAGCCUUCGGCUCAACCGAAGAAGUGCAUCGGAAACUGGGAAACUUGAGUGCAGAAGAGGACAGUGGAACUCCAUGUGUAGCGGUGAAAUGCGUAGAUAUAUGGAAGAACACCAGUGGCGAAGGCGGCUGUCUGGUCUGUAACUGACGCUGAGGCUCGAAAGUAUGGGUAGCAAACAGGAUUAGAUACCCUGGUAGUCCAUACCGUAAACGAUGAAUGCUAAGUGUUGGAGGGUUUCCGCCCUUCAGUGCUGCAGCUAACGCAUUAAGCAUUCCGCCUGGGGAGUACGGCCGCAAGGCUGAAACUCAAAGGAAUUGACGGGGGCCCGCACAAGCGGUGGAGCAUGUGGUUUAUUCGAAGCUACGCGAAGAACCUUACCAGGUCUUGACAUACUAUGCAAAUCUAAGAGAUUAGACGUUCCCUUCGGGACAUGAUACAGGUGGUGCAUGCUGUCGUCAGCUCGUGUCGUGAGAUGUGGGUUAGUCCGCACGAGCGCACCCUUAUUUAUCAGUGCAGCAUAGUGGGCACUCUGGUGAGAACUUGCGGUGACCAUCGGAGUAUGUGGAUGACGUCGAUCCAUCAUGCCUAUGGACUGGCUUACCAGUUAAUGAUGUACACGAGUGGAACCGGAGGAUAGCUAUAUCUCCUUUAAGCCCAAUUC